GCCUGGGUAGCUCAGUUGUUUAAGCGUCUGACUUCGGCUCAGGGCACAAUCUCACAGUUCGUGGGUUUGAACCCCGCAUCAGGCU
rnacentral:tRNA from 1 species